UACGGAGGGUGCAAGCGUUAUCCGGAUUCACUGGGUUUAAAGGGUGCGUAGGUGGGCAGGUAAGUCAGUGGUGAAAUCUCUGGGCUUAACUCAGAAACUGCCAUUGAUACUAUAGAUCUUGAAUAUCCUGGAGGUGAGCGGAAUAUGUCAUGUAGCGGUGAAAUGCUUAGAUAUGACAUAGAACACCAAUUGCGAAGGCAGCUCACUACGGGAUCAUUGACACUGAGGCACGAAAGCGUGGGGAUCAAACAGG
rnacentral:rRNA from 1 species